AUACGGAAGGUCCGGGCGUUAUCCGGAUUUAUUGGGUUUAAAGGGAGCGCAGGCGGAGAUGCAAGCGUGACGUCAAAUUUCGGGGCUCAACCCCGUCUCGCGUCGCGAACUGCGUCCCUUGGUUGCGGGAAGGGGAGGCGGAACUCGGGGUGUAGCGGUGAAAUGCAUAGAUAUCACGAAGAACUCCGAUCGCGAAGGCAGCCUUCCGGCCCGUCAACGACGCUCAUGCUCGAAGGUGCGGGUAUCAAACAGGAUUAGAUACCCUGGUAGUCCGCACAGUAAACGAUGGACACCCGCGGUUUGGCCUGUAUGGCUGAGCCGCCAAGCGAAAGCGUUAAGUGUCCCACCUGGGGAGUACGCCGGCAACGGUGGAACUCAAAUGAAUUGGCGGGG
rnacentral:rRNA from 1 species